rnacentral:rRNA from 1 species
UACGAAGGGGGCAAGCGUUGUUCGGAAUUACUGGGCGUAAAGGGCGCGCAGGCGGCUUGUUAAGUCAGAUGUGAAAGCCCCGGGCUCAACCUGGGAAUAGCAUUUGGGACUGAUGGGCUAGAGAUCGGGAGAGGAGAGUGGAAUUCCCAGUGUAGAGGUGAAAUUCGUAGAUAUUGGGAAGAACACCGGUGGCGAAGGCGGCUCUCUGGACCGAUACUGACGCUGAGGCGCGAAAGCGUGGGGAGCAAACAGGAUUAGAUACCCUGGUAGUCCACGCUGUAAACGAUGUGUGCUAGACGUUGGGGGACCUAGUUUCCCGGUGUCGCAGCUAACGCGUUAAGCACACCGCCUGGGGAGUACGGCCGCAAGGUUAAA